CUUGACCCACUACUCUGCGCCGUGUAAUUUGGGUUGGCUUUAUAAACUUGAAUCGGCGAAAUUAGCCUUUGAGUUAUUUAAAAAAUAUUACAUAUUAUUAUUAUUACAUACAAUUUAUAGAUAUUACAAAGAAAAGAAUGCCACGAACAUAUAAGGGAAUAACCAACAGACAAAAUUGGGACGCUGAGCAUAUGAAAAAUGCCAUACAAGAAGUUAAGCGAGGAAUGUCUGUUAAAACCGCUGCGCGAAUCUUCCAGGUGCCAAGAAUAUCGCUGAAACGGCGUGUAAUGGACAAAAAUAAGGUAGCAAAGCUAGAGAAGAAGUCACUAGGUAGCUGCCACCCUGUAUUUUCCCAGAACAAGAACUAGUAAGGCAUAUCCUAGAUUUUGAAAGUAGGAUGUAUGGACUCACCUUGCGUGAUUUGCGGCAAUUAGCGUAUCAGCUUGCUGAAAAAAAAAACAAACUGCCCCACAAGUUUUCAGUUUUCCCAUUUCGAAAAAGCUGCUGGUAAAGAUUGGUUGUAUGGUUUUAGAAGAAGACACCCAGAAAUUUCCUUGAGCUGUCCUGAAGCGACCUCGGCUGCUAGAGCAAGAGCCUUCAACAAACAGGUUGUGACAAAGUUCUUUAAUCUGUUAAGAGAGAUUUAUGCACAAAAUAAUCAUGCUCCUCACUAAGUUUAUAACGUAGAUGAGACUUCGAUUUCUACUGUUCCCGGGCGCAAUUUAAGAAUAUUAGCAAAAAAGGUUCCAAACAAGUUGCGAGGGUAACAUCAGCGGAGCGCGGAAUUUCGACGACAGCUGUAGUUUGUGUCAGUUGCAGGAAGUUUUGUACCACCAAUGCUCAUUUUCAGCAGGAAGCGAAUGAAAGCUGAACUGACAGACAGAGCUCCUCCGGGUACCAUAUUUGCUUGUAAUGAAAGUGGUUGGAUGCGUACAGAAGUUUUUAAGCAGUGGUUUGCUCAUUUCGUAUCUUUUGUGAAGUGAAGCCAAGUAUCCAUGAGCCCGCCUUAUUUAUAUUAGAUGGAUAUUUAUCGCACACCAGAAAUCUCGAUUUAAUUGUUAGUACUAGAGAAAAAUUUAUAACCAUCUUAUAACCUAAAUUGUUAAAAAUAAAUUACGUGUGAGUUCUUA